CUCAUCAAUCGUCAUUUCUGAAUCGACCCAGAAAUCACGGAGGAAAGAAGCUAUUCUCUCUCGCUCUCUUCUCUUCUCCCUCACACUAUGCCGCUCCGGUAUCUUCCCUUCUCUAUUUCACUAUCUCUCACUCUCUAUAUAUCUCCCACCCAACGCAAGGUCUGCAUUAGUGAAGGGGCAAGUCAUCUUCCAUAGAGCGCCUCCAUCGCUGCGUCUUGAAGAUCCUUCUCGGACGGCCCCAAACUAACGCCUGAAGCCUCUCAAUUUUCAAACACAUCAUGGAUCGUCUGAAGCUUCUCAUCUCUUCCCUUCGAUGGUGGUUUCUUCUAAUCUUCAAACGCAAGGUCCUCUCUGUUGCAGCCUCGUUAGAGGCCAGGUUUUGAUGAGGUUGUUACGAACCCCACUCGAUCCCAGUUUCAGCCUCGUUAGAGGCCAGGUGAUGAAAUCUGAAGUUUUAAUGCAUAAUCGUAUACGUGUUGGAUAUGCUUCAUGCCCCACAGAAACAAUAAGUAUCAUUAGACUUUUAGGGUGUUGGUUGUGUUUUAGCUGAGUAAAGCUAUAACUCAAAAGUUAAUUCAUUAAAUGCUUAUCCAUUUUAUUAGGACAUUUGAUUGUUCACCUAAGUAAACAUGUCUGCCUGAGCGCGCUUGCAUUUCACCUUUGCCCUCAGAUUUCAUCAGUUUGUUUUUUUAUGUCCGUUUCUCAUUUGGAUAUCUUUGUGUUUAUUGUUCAUUUAAAAAACUAUAGAAACACUAAACUGCCUAUAAUUCUUCCAAUAUAAAAUAGGUCUCUGAUUUUUUGAGGUUUAUUACGUGUUAGCUCAUGGUAAUAAAACUUAGUAGUUCAAUCAGUCUAUUACAAGUACGACAUCAGUUCUAGUAAAACUAUAAACAGCGAAACAUAAUAGACAACUGACUGAAUAAUCAGUCCUAGUUGAACCAAGACUCUCAUAAUUAGACUAGGAAAACACCAAGGGGUGAGCCUGCACAAUCCAUAUGACUCCUCCUUCUCUUCUCACGACAGCCUUCUAACACCUUUAACAACAUAUCUAGCUAUACUUAUAUCUUUGUCUUGUAUGAAGUUCUAACCAAUAAGAUUCUAUCCAACCUUAUUGAUUUAUGCAAACGCCAAUGAAGAUUUAUGUGGAGGAUAGAUGCAGGAUAAAUAAUUUGGCAACCAGUAUUGUAGCAUUUUCAUAGGUUCCAUUUUCCUUGCAUCAAGAAGUGGUGGAGUCUUACAUUUAUUAUAUAAUAUCAUUAUACAUUAACAUGACAAUCUCACUCCUUUUUUUGGGUUAAUCGUUUGUUGAGCUGUCCUAUGUACAUGUUUCUAAAUCUCGGAUCAGUCUCGAGAUCAAUCAACACUGACACCAAUCAAGCUAGGAUCAGACUGUUGGAUAGAUUUACCCAUGAUUUUAAAUAAAUUUUAUUACAUUUUACUGUGGGGCAGUACCUGUGUAUUAGGAUCCAAUUGGUCAAGACUCAGGAUCAGGGAUUGGUCAAGGCAAAAACUGAUCCAAUCAAAGCCAAUAUUGACCUAUCCAAUCCGAGUUUUAGAACCAUACCUAGGAGUAGCUUUAAGGUUCUGUUAACCUCACUGAAAUGACCUUACAAGUCACUAACUGUCCUGUCUGAAUACAUUACAUGGAAUUGUGGCCAUCGGGAAACUCAUAAAAUAGGGGGAAUUAAAAUGGGAAAAAAUUAUUUUUUUGAGAUGUGAUUGACUGAGACUCAGUAUCUGUGAGGUUAACAUAUUUGUGUAGUUAAAUGUUUUUGUUUUGUUCCGCUUGACACGUGUUGAUGUGCCAUGUGGGUUAUGAAACAAAUUUUGGUUGAAUUCACCGAAGGUUGAUUAAAUUGAAAACAUUUUUAAUAUUGAAAAGUGGUUACCCAUUUUAUGUUCUUGUACUGAUGAAUUUGUUAUAAUCCUUGGGUUAUGGUCAUCCGUCCUUGCCUUAUGUGGUGAUUCCUGAGAUUUCGAAGAAAGCUAAUAGAUCUUAUUAGUGGGUGGGACAUUUGCUACAUUCAACUCUUGUGGAUGACCUUGUAAGUUUAUUACUCUUGGCUAUCUACAGCAGACUUUGGAGUGAAAAGAGGGCACUUGUCUUCAAAAAUGAGUUAAGUUGAAUUAUGGUUUUUCAAAUUGUUCUUGGGGUUUUAAGGGGGUGAGGCAUUUUUUUUUCUUUUUCAAUUGGAAUUUCAUGUAGUGGAAGCCGCUACCUGUUUGUUUAGGCUGUGGGUGCUUUUGUAGUAGCCUCCAAUUUUGGUGGUUGUAAUUGCUAAUUGUUGUUGGUCUUUGUUUUAUUUUGUUCCCUUAAAAUGUUACAAAUUCGUUAUGUUGGGCUUCAAGCUUCUGGAUUUCUACCAUUAUUAACCUUAUAUCUUGGUUCUUUGUUGAUUGUGUUGGACUAGGAAUCAGAGUUUUGUAAGGUGGUAUAAUUGAGGGAGGGGAGUGGAAGAGCCUGCGUAGUGUGUUUCUUUUUUAUUUGUGUAAGAGUAUACAAAAUCUUUAUUUUUUUUUUUUUGCUCCUUGCUGGUAGGUAUAAAAGCUGCUAUGGUAUCAUGCAAUGGGAUACGUAGAUAGCCAUGAGUUAUUGGUUCUAUUUGCCGAGGUACUGAUGUGCUUUGACAUGAGCCACGAGUUAUUGGUUCUAUUUGCAGAGGAAUUGAUGUGCUUUGACAUGAUAGGUUUCAGUAAGAAAUAAUGUCCAUCAAUAUAACUUUUGCCUUAUUUGUAUCAUGGUCCUUUAAGUGAUCCUUUCAACCAUGGCCGAAGUAGAUGCGAAGGAAUCCACGAACAUAUGAUAGUAUCUUUAUUUAUUUUUUUGCUAAGGUUGGUUAUCAAGGCCUUCGGCCUGACUAGUCUCGUAGGGCCAUACUGACCCCACAACCGCAUGGACCGGGUGAUACCAGGGUUGAUUGAGAACCAUUCAACUUUAACUGAAAGCAGUGAGGAGCACUAAACACCCAGUGUGUAUGGCCCCAAGGAGGUAAGAAGAGUUGAAGCUCAGAACCACAUGCUUCCUGAGGCGAAAGGUCCCUUGCCAACUCAGCUGCCCCCUUGGGGUUGAGAACAUAUGGUAGUAGUAGCAAUUAUGACAAUGGAAAUGUUCGAAUGGUUAGAAGAACAUUUGGGAGAUGCACAGAUAAUUCGAGACAUUAACAUAUCGCUUUCAAUUCACAUUGUGAAUAUUCUAUGGUAGCAUUGGGUUUUAUUGCACUGUGUACUUGGUCCCAAUCCCAAUUGAGGAUUAUCUGACUUAGCAGCUGACAUAAAGUUUUAUAUUGUCUUAUUAUAUUAUCUGUUUAUUGAAUCAUUUUCUCAUCUUGUAAAUUUCCUUCUAAAAAACUUGAGCGAUUGGGUGGAGGGACUCACAGGUAUAUGAGGGGACAAAAGGCCUCAAGGGUAAUCGAUGUGGGACCAUUCUCCCAACAGUAGAGGAGAGGAAAGAAAUCAACUGAAUCAAUCUGGUGAUGUAAGUAAACAUCUUGCAUGGAAACGUAGGAUGAUGGAUUCAGUUUUGACCUCAUGGGUCAUAUAAUGAAAAGUACCAUGGAUUUGAAACCAGUAGCUGCAAAUAGAAGGGAGAAGAGAGGAAAAGAGACAGAGGGAGCAAUUUCUGAGCCACGAUAGAUUCACCUUGUGUUCUAUCAUAGGCUACUAUUGUUAUUAAUAAUAUUUAGUUAGCGAAUUAUGUACUCUUAAGCAGGAAUACUUCUAAGAGUAGAUGUCUUUACAAUGAAGGUUCUAAGAGUA